rnacentral:rRNA from 1 species
UACGUAGGUGGCAAGCGUUGUCCGGAUUUACUGGGUGUAAAGGGCGUGUAGCCGGGCCGGCAAGUCAGAUGUGAAAUCCCAAGGCUCAACCUUGGAACUGCAUUUGAAACUGUUGAUCUUGAGUACCGGAGAGGUCAUCGGAAUUCCUUGUGUAGCGGUGAAAUGCGUAGAUAUAAGGAAGAACACCAGUGGCGAAGGCGGAUGACUGGACGGCAACUGACGGUGAGGCGCGAAAGCGUGGGGAGCAAAAAGG